rnacentral:rRNA from 1 species
UCCUGGCUCAUGAUGAACGCUGGCGGCGUGCCUAACACAUGCAAGUCGAGCGAUCUUCUUCGGAAGAGAGCGGCGGACGGGUGAGUAACGCGUGGGUAACCUGCCCUGUACACACGGAUAACAUACCGAAAGGUAUGCUAAUACGAGAUAAUGUGUUUUUGUCGCACGGUAGAAGUAUCAAAGCUUUUGCGGUACAGGAUGGACCCGCGUCUGAUUAGCUAGUUGGUAAGGUAACGGCUUACCAAGGCGACGAUCAGUAGCCGACCUGAGAGGGUGAUCGGCCACAUUGGAACUGAGACACGGUCCAAACUCCUACGGGAGGCAGCAGUGGGGAAUAUUGCACAAUGGGCGAAAGCCUGAUGCAGCAACGCCGCGUGAGCGAUGAAGGCCUUCGGGUCGUAAAGCUCUGUCCUCAAGGAAGAUAAUGACGGUACUUGAGGAGGAAGCCCCGGCUAACUACGUGCCAGCAGCCGCGGUAAUACGUAGGGGGCUAGCGUUAUCCGGAAUUACUGGGCGUAAAGGGUGCGUAGGUGGUUUCUUAAGUCAGAGGUGAAAGGCUACGGCUCAACCGUAGUAAGCCUUUGAAACUGGGAAACUUGAGUGCAGGAGAGGAGAGUGGAAUUCCUAGUGUAGCGGUGAAAUGCGUAGAUAUUAGGAGGAACACCAGUUGCGAAGGCGGCUCUCUGGACUGUAACUGACACUGAGGCACGAAAGCGUGGGGAGCAAACAGGAUUAGAUACCCUGGUAGUCCACGCCGUAAACGAUGAGUACUAGCUGUCGGAGGUUACCCCCUUCGGUGGCG